rnacentral:rRNA from 1 species
AUUGAACGCUGGCGGCAGGCUUAACACAUGCAAGUCGAACGAGUGGCGGACGGGUGAGUAAUGUCUGGGAAUCUGGCUGAUGGAGGGGGAUAACUACGGGAAACUGUAGCUAAUACCGCGUACCAUCGGAUGUGCCCAAGUGGGAUUAGGUAGUUGGUGGGGUAAAGGCUCACCAAGCCGACGAUCCCUAGCUGGUCUGAGAGGAUGACCAGCCACACUGGAACUGAGACACGGCCCAGACUCCUACGGGAGGCAGCAGUGGGGAAUAUUGCGCAAUGGGGGCAAGCCUGACGCAGCCAUGCCGCGUGAAUGAAGAAGGCCUUCGGGUUGUAAAGUACUUUCGGUAGGGAGGCGUUAACUGCAGAAGAAGCACCGGCUAACUCCGUGCCAGCAGCCGCGGUAAUAC